UACGGAAGGCAGCAGGGGGAAUAUUGCACAAUGGGCGAAAGCCUGAUGCAGCUAUGCCGCGUGUAUGAAGAAGGCCUUAGGGUUGUAAAGUACUUUCAUCGGGGAGGAAAAAACAAAACUAAUAAUUUUAUUUCUUGACGUUACCCGAAAAAGAAGCACCGGCUAACUCCGUGCCAGCAGCCGCGGUAAUACGGAGGGUGCUAGCGUUAAUCAGAAUUACUGGGCGUAAAGAGCACGUAGGUGGUUUUUUUAAGUCAGAUGUGAAAUCCCUGGGCUUAACCUAGGAACUGCAUUUUGAAACUGAAAUACUAGAGUAUCGUAGAGGGAGGUAGAAUUCUAGGUGUAGCGGUGAAAUGCGUAGAUAUCUGGAGGAAUACCUGUGGCGAAAGCGGCCUCCUAAACGAAUACUGACACUGAGGGUGCGAAAGCGUGGGGAGCAAAACAGGGAUUAGAUACC
rnacentral:rRNA from 1 species